rnacentral:rRNA from 1 species
UAGUCGAUGGGAAACAGGUUAAUAUUCCUGUACUUGGUGUUACUGCGAAGGGGGGACGGAGAAGGCUAUGUUAGCCGGGCGACGGUUGUCCCGGUUUAAGCAUGUAGGCUGGUUAUCCAGGCAAAUCCGGAUAAUCAAGGCUGAGGUGUGAUGACGAGGCACUACGGUGCUGAAGUAACAAAUGCCCUGCUUCCAGGAAAAGCCUCUAAGCAUCAGGUAACAUCAA